rnacentral:rRNA from 1 species
UACAGAGGUCCCAAGCGUUGUUCGGAUUUACUGGGCGUAAAGGGUGCGUAGGCGGUCGGAUAAGUUUGAUGUGAAAUCUUCGGGCUUAACCCGGAAACUGCAUUGAAUACUAUUCGGCUUGAGGUCUGGAGGGGGGACUGGAAUUCUCGGUGUAGCAGUGAAAUGCGUAGAUAUCGAGAGGAACACCAGUGGCGAAGGCGAGUCCCUGGACAGAUCCUGACGCUGAGGCACGAAAGCUAGGGGAGCAAACAGG